CGAUACAUAGGGGGACUGAGAGGUUAACCCCCCACACUGGUACUGAGACACGGACCAGACUCCUACGGGAGGCAGCAGUGAGGAAUAUUGGUCAAUGGACGCAAGUCUGAACCAGCCAUGCCGCGUGCAGGAAGACGGCUCUAUGAGUUGUAAACUGCUUUUGUACGAGGGUAAACUCACCUACGUGUAGGUGACUGAAAGUAUCGUACGAAUAAGGAUCGGCUAACUCCGUGCCAGCAGCCGCGGUAAUACGGAGGAUUCAAGCGUUAUCCGGAUUUAUUGGGUUUAAAGGGUGCGUAGGCGGUUUGAUAAGUUAGAGGUGAAAUCCCGGGGCUUAACUCCGGAACUGCCUCUAAUACUGUUAGACUAGAGAGUAGUUGCGGUAGGCGGAAUGUAUGGUGUAGCGGUGAAAUGCUUAGAGAUCAUACAGAACACCGAUUGCGAAGGCAGCUUACCAAACUAUAUCUGACGUUGAGGCACGAAAGCGUGGGGAGCAAACAGGAUUAGAUACCCUGGUAGUCCACGCAGUAAACGAUGAUAACUCGUUGUCGGCGAUACACAGUCGGUGACUAAGCGAAAGCGAUAAGUUAUCCACCUGGGGAGUACGUUCGCAAGAAUGAAACUCAAAGGAAUUGACGGGGGCCCGCACAAGCGGAGGAACAUGUGGUUUAAUUCGAUGAUACGCGAGGAACCUUACCCGGGCUUGAAAGUUACUGACGAUUCUGGAAACAGGAUUUCCCUUUGGGGCAGGAAACUAGGUGCUGCAUGGUUGUCGUCAGCUCGUGCCGUGAGGUGUCGGGUUAAGUCCCAUAACGAGCGCAACCCCUACCGUUAGUUGCCAUCAGGUCAAGCUGGGCACUCUGGCGGGACUGCCGGUGUAAGCCGAGAGGAAGGUGGGGAUGACGUCAAAUCAGCACGGCCCUUACGUCCGGGGCUACACACGUGUUACAAUGGGGGGUACAGAAGGCCGCUACCUGGUGACAGGAUGCCAAUCCCAAAAACCUCUCUCAGUUCGGAUUGAAGUCUGCAACCCGACUUCGUGAAGCUGGAUUCGCUAGUAAUCGCGCAUCAGCCAUGGCGCGGUGAAUACGUUCCCGGGCCUUGUACACACCGCCCGUCAAGCCAUGG
rnacentral:rRNA from 1 species